GAAGUGGGCUGGACGGUCGCUGCUGUGGAGGUCUCCGUGACUGAAACAGGGGAGGAAAGUCCGGGCUUCAUAGGGCAAGGUGCCAGGUAACGCCUGGGCGGCGAAAGCCGACGGCAAGUGCAGCAGAGAGUAGACCGCCUCAUUCGUGAGGUAAGGGUGAAAGGGUGCGGUAAGAGCGCACCGCGUGUCUGGUAACAGUUCACGGCAAGGUAAACCCCACCAGAAGCAAGACCAAAUAGGAAUCCUGAGGCACGGCCCGUGCUGGAUUCGGGUAGGUCGCUUGAGCGUAUGAGUGAUUGUACGCCUAGAGGAAUGAUCGUCCUCGACAGAACCCGGCUUAUAGGCCCACUUCUUAA
rnacentral:RNase_P_RNA from 1 species